rnacentral:lncRNA from 1 species
GUGGGGACCAGGCCCCCUUUUAGAUAGGGAGGGGAGGAGCAGGGCCCCGGCUGCGGGGAGUUGGGAGAGAAGCCAAAGCGUCUCCCCCCUCCCUCUGUUCCUGCUUUCUCAGGAUGUCUGAGAUGCCCAGCGUGGGUGAGUGCACCCUCCCUCCCUGGCUCUGCUCCUCCCCCUCCCCGGAACCACCACCCCCUCAGCCCUGAGCUGCCGAUGCCCUCGGGGUUCUGUUUUCAUUCCAGGCUGUGGAUCCGGUCGUGGGAAGCAGGCUCCAGCCCUCACCAGCAGGGACUCAACAAACGCCAUCUGUCAGAUGAGUCAUGGGACCAGAAGCUUGGGAGAAGACAUGCAGAGCCAACCACUAACAAAACUGGCAAAUGAAAUAAAUGCCCAGAAACCUGCUCCAUCCCCAGCAUUCCUUAAGUCCUAUAAAUUGCACCACCUUUUACCAGUUUUCAGAAACUAAAAGUCAUCCUUGACAUCCGUCCAAUCAAUCACCUCCUAUUUAUCUCCCAAAUUCAUUCUUUUUUCUUUUUGAAACAGAGUUUUUACUCUUGUUGCCCAGGCUGAAGUGCAAUGGCACGAUCUCAGCUCCCUGCAACCU